AGGAACAGCAUCUCUGCCUUCCUGUUCACGGUGACCUUCGCUUGGUGUCCUCCUGGCCUCAGCAACCUGACAAUUCUGUCGUGUCCCGACGGAGUCUGUCUGUCCCAGGCUGGAGUGCAGUGGUGUGAUCUCAGCUCACUGCAACCUCUGCCUCCUGCGUUCAAGCGAUUCUCCUGACUCAGCCUCCCAAGUAGCUGGAAUUACAGGCGUGUGCCACCACGCCCGGCUAAUUGUAUUUUUAGUAGAGACAGGGUUUCACCGUGUUGGCCAGGCUGGUCUCGAACUCCUGACCUCGUGAUCUGCCGGCCUUGGCCUCCCAAAGUACUGCGUGAACCACCAUGCCCCGCCAUUCACCUGAAUUUUUAAAAAUAAAAUUUUGGCCUUUGAAGAUUUCAGGAGCAUUAUCUUGUAAAAUGCUGCCGUUCUCAUGCAAUGAUGUUUUCCUGUGAUUUUAUUUGAUUUACCUAUGUCCUGUAUUUCUUGUAAAGUGGAUGUUGGGGUUACAGUGGUACUGUCUAAUACAAAUAUAAUGCAAGGCACAGAUGUAAUUUUUAAAAAUUUUAGUAGCCAAAUUAGAAAAUGUUAAAUGUAUGUGUGAUAUCAUUUUUAAUAUAUUAAAAAUGCAGCAUAUCCAGUUAUCAAUAUAAGUUUUUGAAAUUAGUGACUAAUGUAGUCAGUUUAAAACUGAGACAUUUCACACUUCUUUUGUACUAAGUCUUUGGAAUCCUGCACGUAUUUUACACUUACAGCUAAUUUUCAUUGGAAAUUCUUGAUCUGUAUUUAGAGUUUAUAAAAUUAACUAUUGAAAAAGUAGAUUAACAAACCCAGGUUGUUCCAAACAUACUUAAAAGUUUUUCAAUAACAAUUUUAUUUUUAAAGUUGAAUUAAAAGUAAAUAAAAUUAAGAAUUCAUUUCCUCAGUUGCACUAGCCACAUGGGGCUAGUGGCUGUUGAGUUAGACUGGCCAGAUCCAAGGCUUCCAUUUUCUAGGUAAUGUACUGGGCUUCAUAUUAUAUCCUAUCAGUAGUCACAUACUACAAGUUUGUUAGUGAUACUACGCAUUUGGUCAAGGUACUCAUCUCUGUAUAGUCAUGUUUUUCUUAUAGUAAUCUAUAAGUGAUACUUUGGCUACAGGGGAAUAUUCUGUUCCCCAACAGCCUUUCACCCAGUGGUUUUUUUGGUUUUGUUUUGUUUUGUUUUUUUUUGUUUUUGUUUUUGUUUUGACGGAGUCUCACUCUGCCGCCCAGGCUGGAGUACAGUGGCGUGAUCUUGGCUCACUGCAACCUCCGCCUCCCCGGUUCAAGUGAUUCUCCUGUCUCAGCCUUCUGGGUAGCUGGGAUUAGAGAUGUGGGUCACCACGCCUGGCUAAUUUUUGUAAUUUUAGUAGAGAAGGGGUUUCACCCAUGUUGGUCAGGCUGGUCUCGAACUCUUGACCUCAGGUGAUCCUCCCGCCUCGGCCUCCCAAAGUGCUGGAAUUACAGGCAUGAGCUACCGCGCCUGGCCUCACCCAGUGGCUUUUAACAUCACUCAGUCAUCUUCUCCUGAACCUGUUUUUACAUUGAGAGGUUAACAGUUUUUUUUCCUAGUUCUGUUGUUCUUUCUCCAUUCUUUAGCUGACAGUCUUAGGUGAAGAGGAGCUUUCUUUCACCACUUUCACUGCCCUCUAUACUUUUUUUCUUUUUUGGAAUGUCACAACUUAUUCUAAUUUUUUUUUCUUUUCAUUCACUGUAUUAUAAUCAAUUCCUGUCAUUCGUAUUGAUGCUCAAACUGUCCCAAUUUUGACCAAUGGUAAUUUUUAAAUUUGGCUCUGUGUCUUGUGACACAACUCUACUAAUCUGAGUGCAAAAUCAGACCCCAGUUCACUUUGUAUUUUCCUCUUACAGACCUGGAAUCAAUGAUUGCUCCAAAAAGUCAUGUUCCUUUUAGACACUAAGGUCUGUGUGAUAGGCCCACAGUGGACAUCUAUGGCCUUACAGUGGACAUCUAGAAUAUGUAUUUUCUUACAUCAUACAUUUAUACUCAUAUUCCUAUUACAAACUUAAGAGGUUUUUUGUUUUUCCUUAUGUUUGUAUCUCUUAUCUCUUAUAAUAAAGACCUUGACUCCU
rnacentral:lncRNA from 10 species